rnacentral:rRNA from 1 species
GACGAACGCUGGCGGCGUGCCUAACACAUGCAAGUCGUACGGGGCCGGGGGCAACUCCGGUUCAGUGGCAGACGGGUGCGUAACACGUGAGGAACUUGUCCGGUGGCGGGGGAUAGCCGGCCCAACGGCCGGGUAAUACCGCAUACGCUCGUUCGGGGGCACCCCUGGGCGAGGAAAGCAGCCGCAAGGUUGCGCCGACGGAGGGCCUCGCGACCUAUCAGCUUGUUGGCGGGGUAACGGCCCACCAAGGCGACGACGGGUAGCUGGUCUGAGAGGACGAUCAGCCACACUGGCACUGCGACACGGGCCAGACUCCUACGGGAGGCAGCAGUAAGGAAUAUUGCGCAAUGGGCGAAAGCCUGACGCAGCGACGCCGCGUGGGGAUGAAGGUCUUCGGAUUGUAAA